UACGGGGGGGCAAGCGUUGUUCGGAAUUACUGGGCGUAAAGGGCUCGUAGGUGGCCAACUAAGUCAGACGUGAAAUCCCUCGGCUUAACCGGGGAACUGCGUCUGAUACUGGAUGGCUUGAGUUUGGGAGAGGGACGCGGAAUUCCAGGUGUAGCGGUGAAAUGCGUAGAGAUCGGAGGAACACCAGAGGCGAAGGCGGCAAGCUGGAUGGCACUGACACUCAACUGCGAAAGCGUGGGGAGCAAACAGG
rnacentral:rRNA from 1 species